CAUUUAUAGUAAGCAAUUGUGAAGUCCAGUAAAUAAUUGAUAGUCCAUGCCAGUUUAAAUAAUGGAAGUUCUUCAAAGUCUCUUAAAACUUUUUCUUUUGCUAGCUUUAGCAAUUUCUAGUGCCGAUCUGGGCCCUCUUAUACCACCCAUUAGGCUUAGCGAUAGAUAUUAUAUAUGGAAUAAAACAGCAACUUUUACUCAGGCCUUAGGAAUAUGCCAAUCUUACGGAAUGAGAAUGGCAGUGGUAAAUUCCGAAAAUGUUACUCGAGAAUUGCAGAAUGCUUUUUUAAGAUCCACACAACCUUAUACCUAUUACUGGAUAGCAGGCGUUUACCAGAACAAUGACGUAUACGAAGGAUGGACUUGGGCCACCACAUCUGAACCUUUUAAUUUCACUAGUUGGGCACCAUUUCAGCCAGAAAUCACAAGCUCAGAUAAUUGUAUCAGGUGGCCUUAUACUUGGCAGACAGAAAAUGGAAUAUGGGAAAGCGUGAAGUGUACAAAUUCUGGCGCAGCUCGAAUAUUAUGUGAAGAUCCUGAUGUCUGAUGAAAUUUUAUAUUUGUGUAAGCGGUAUCUUUAUAAGUAAUUACUCUUAAUAAAAUAUAUUAUUAAAAUCAAAAUAAUAUAUUUUCUAAUGUGAAAUAAAGUGCAAGCACUCGUUUCUGUAUUGAAGCAAGACUA
rnacentral:lncRNA from 1 species